UUUCAGGGGUCACAGGCAUGGAUAGUCAAUUAUCCUGACUACCUUCUGGGACUGCCCAUGCCUCCAACUGGCCUGUGGGCAGGGUGGUCCAGAAAGGCUUUCUUCAGGGAAGCUUCAGCUGUGUCAGAUAAAAGGGCAGCAGCACCUGGGAAACAUGGUAACACAAAUGAAGUGUGAUUACCUUCAGUGUUUCCUGGUGUUAGGCCUGCAUUGCAUAUAUUUAAGGUUGUGAUAGUGUUUUCCAUUCAAGUAUGUCUGGCAGAUAUGAUUUUGAUAUGAAAUUGGACCAAGCUGGAGAACGACUUUGUUCUGAAGUGAGAUGUUUACAUCUCUUGACACUUAAUGAACAGUCUUCUGUGGAUGGCUGGAUGACUCUUUAUGGAAUGCAAAACAGCACAAGAACUUCCUGAAGUAGCCUCCUGGUGCUCCUUAAGGCUGGUUGGUAGAAGGGAGCAGGCUGACUUGAGGAAACAAAAGAAUGGAGAGAUCAGCCAGCUUGCUGGAAAGUAUGAGCCACGUAGUUGUUGGAAGACAAUAAAUUUGUAGUUGAAACAACAGCAAUUAAUUCAUAACUCCUCCUAUAUUUAUAUAAGAAAGCUUAUUUGUGCAAGAAAGUUUCAGCAAAUUAAUUGUUCUCUUUUUGAAUGUCUAAAUUCCCCCCAAACUGAAGCCUGAAAUUAGGAUGAAAUUAUAUUUUGUUAGAGUAACAUUCAUGUAUUUCUGUUUUAACUAUCACUCUUUGUAUUGUAUGAAUGAUUGAGCAAAACCUGGUAUUUUGUAUAGAGUCAGAUGUAAUUUUUGCGAAGGCAUAUGAAACUAGUCAAAAAUCUGUUUCUGGCACUUCUCAAAAUAGGCCUGCAAAUUAAUUAGAACAAACAUCUCUAACACCUGAUAGUAAACCAUACAGUGAGACCCCAGAGCAGUGGGGAAAAGAAAAGUGAUGGUGCUAUUACCAUGGGAGAUAAUAAACGUGCAUAUAUUUUUCUUGGUUGUUACUCCACUGAGUGUAAUGUUCACUGAUCUGGAAAGGACUGCUACACACCCAAAACUGAUGAAGAUGAUGUUUCAAGUAGGACUUCAGUGAUAUCCAAGCAUUAUGAUAGCAGUCUGCAGUUGGAGUAAUCUUUCCUCCUCCCCACUCCCCAAGACCUGACAGCCAACUGAAUCAUUUCCCUUCCCGACCCAGCCCACCAAUGUUGUUGCAAAACCCAGGGAUACACAAAAAAUACUUGUCUCUCUUAAUGGGUAUUAAAAUUGAGUAAAUUCUGUCUUUACUCUUUUAUUGUUUUGACUCUAUCACUUUGUGUGUGAGAAAAAUGCCUGAACUCAGGAGAAAACUUUGAACCUUCUCUGGAAAAAUGAAAAUGCUCCUUUAAAUGUAUAUUGUCACCUAAAAUAUAUGGCUAUCUAGUGAUGAUAUGCCAGAAAGCUGUAAUUUUAUUUCUCAUUCCCUUAUUCUCCAGUGUGGAUGCUUCCAACAGGAAUAGGAUCCCAAACUUCAUGAAGCUCAUAAACUUGUUAAGUGUGGAAAUAGCAGGACACUUCAGGAACUUAGGCAGUCUGGCCAAGGAACACAGUAUAUCUGCUACAGAUACCCCCCAAGGCACUUAAUUAAAACUCCCAGCAGGCAACAUCUGCAUGAAAACAAUUUCACUUUUGGUGAGACUGGAAAUUUCAGCUUUCUGAUGGAUUUUUUUCUUCCCUUGGUAAAAGUCUAUUCUCUAGUGUAUGUGUAAACACACCCCAUGGAUUGCAUUAUAAACUUGCAAAUUUCCUUUAUAAAUAAUGUCUCUGUGGUGUUCUCACCAUGUCUAACAUAAAGAAGUGUCAGAAUUGUAAUGGCGAUCACUUGUGUAUGCAUGCUUUAGCAGCUUAAGGGUAAAUAGCAUAUGUCUUUCUGUGUCAUUGAAAUGAGUAACAUGUAGUAGAAUUGGCAAUUGCCAAGUAGUAGCAAUAUUGUGUGAUGGUGAUCCACUUGCUAAUUCAAAUGUAUUAUGGGGGCAGGAAAAAAAAAAAAAAAAGAAAAAAAAAAAGAAAUGAACCUCCACAGGCAAAGUAAUUACUAAAUAGUAUUUGGACCGUUAUACUUCAAACUGCUGGGUUAAAGUACUAUUCACAAGUCGUGGUCGUUUUUCCUGUUCUCUUCUGCUAUCCCUGCCCUUAGCAGUUCUUAUUAUUGACCUGGGAGCGAGCACAAUUAAAAUCUUUUUUCCAGUUCUAUCCUAUACUCAUCUUUAAACUUGAUGGGAAUUCUUACUAUUGAAAAUGCCAGUCAGAGAAGUUAAUCGUCCACCCCAGGCUUUAGAACAUCAUAUUUGCUGAAAAUGAAAGGAGAGUAAUUUAAAUAGCAGUAAUGAUUUCAAAGUGUCUCCAUUUCAUGUCAUGGCUAGCAUCGCCUGCUAUUAGAGGUCCCUGAACCCCGAUUUCAUACUGGUUACAAUAAAUCACGUUCUUAUGGUAAAGAGAGAAAGAGCAGCCACUUAAAGAGGACAAUGUAUAAGCCUCAAAGGGAAAAAAUUCUGUGGUCGGCAUUGAGGUCCCUCAGGGAAGGGAAGAAAUAUGGGAAAUGUAUUGACUUCUUACUAAUGUAUGUACAUGCUUAGCCAGAAAUGAGUAGGGAUGAAAACAUUACUAAUCAGUAAAAAAUAAAACAUUAACAGUGGCAGAAGGAGAUUCUAAAGGAUCUGUUUAUACUCUCUGGCACUUCCUACAAAAGGUUUUGUAAGGGACGGACACUAAAUAAAAUGGAAGGACCAUGCUGUAACACAUGUAAAACUGAGAAAAGCCUGAAUAUUCACUGUGGAUCUGCAUGACCAGUGCUAGAAAUAACCAGCGUGUUUGAAAAAUAUGCUAGUUUAUGCACUUAAUUAUUUCUUUGGUCUAUUAUUUUGCUGUUAAAGCAGAGAUCUGCUGAGUUCAACAAGUGACAAGCACCCGUACUGCAGAUACUAAUAAUGUAUGAUUAAAUAAAUGAAAUACUUAGCAGGGUAGAUCCUCUACCUCCUUU